rnacentral:rRNA from 1 species
GACGAACGCUAGCGGCGUGCCUAAUACAUGCAAGUCGAGCGAAGUUUUUCUGGUGCUUGCACUAGAAAAACUUAGCGGCGAACGGGUGAGUAACACGUAAAGAACCUGCCUCAUAGACUGGGACAACUAUUGGAAACGAUAGCUAAUACCGGAUAACAGCAUUAACUGCAUGGUUGAUGUUUAAAAGUUGGUUUUGCUAACACUAUGAGAUGGCUUUGCGGUGCAUUAGCUAGUUGGUGGGGUAAAGGCCUACCAAGGCGACGAUGCAUAGCCGACCUGAGAGGGUGAUCGGCCACACUGGGACUGAGACACGGCCCAGACUCCUACGGGAGGCAGCAGUAGGGAAUCUUCCGCAAUGGGCGAAAGCCUGACGGAGCAACGCCGCGUGAGUGAAGAAGGAUUUCGGUUCGUAAAGCUCUGUUGUUAGGGAAGAAUGAUUGUGUAGUAACUAUACACAGUAGAGACGGUACCUAACCAGAAAGCCACGGCUAACUACGUG